CUUUUGUUUAGGGCUGAAACACGUAUUUCAAUUGCUCAAAAUACGUCACACUUCAUUGAAUCCCGGGUAAGCGGGACCAUAUAAACACCCCCUAAAAGGGGUGGACGAAAGGUAGUUUACGAGAUGAUUCCAAAAUUGAAUUAAGAGUUUGCGUUAGUAUUAGGGUGGGGGUCUGAGUGUGGGGGUUAGGUGUGGGGUGAGGGUUAAAAUGAUCUUAAAACCUGGGGGGCCACCUUUAAUACCUGCCUGCCACCUUUAAUACCUGCCUCUAGUAGCCACGACCAUAAAAUCACUGCACAUGACGCAUUAUCAGUGAUUCAACAGGAUAAAAAGCUUAUGAAUUAUUAAUGAUGUUUGAAGUUCUAGUUCCAGCACGCGUAGGAGUGUUUAUCGGAUAUAAAUAGCUCAAUGCUGACGUUAAAGGAAGAUCAUACCAAUAUUCUGUGUGUACAGGAAGAACAUUCCUUGACCGAUCAAUCAAUGGGAAGUGAAUUUGCAUUUUUUACGUUCAAACACGUCAAAAUGAAUGCCCCCUUACUGAUAAAUGCUAUUUAUUGAUAUUUAAUAUCUAUGUUUAUAUUAUAUAUAAACUAUAUAUUGGAAUUUACUGAAUUUAUAUUUAAAAUUAAAAAAUGUAUCUUUGAACAAAUGAAAAAAAGUGAAAAAUGUGUCUUGAUUUGAGCAAAUGAAAAAAAAUGUCUUAAAAAAAAGAACAAUGAAAAAAGUGAAAUAAUGUGUCUUUGAACAAGGUUAUCAAAUGUGUCUUUGAAGAUGUUGUCCAAGAAUAAAUUUGUCUUUGAACAACGUUAAAUAGAGAAUAAUACAUGUGCGCGCGGAAAUAGCAGAUUUAUUUCGAGUGUUGAACAUGAUAUCUCAAGAGUGUGCGCAGCGGACGAGUGAGAUAUCAUGUUAAACACGAGAAAUAAAUCUGGUAUUUCCAAGCAUCCAUGUAUUUUUCUGUUUAUUAUAUAAAGGACAGUCUUUGAAAAGCGAUAAUUUUUACAGAAAAGCGAUAAUUGAAAAG